rfam:Thermosipho melanesiensis BI429, complete genome.
GGGGGCGAACUGGUUUCGACGGGGGUGGAAUCCCCCGAGAAGCGAGUCGAGGUUUCUGUGCUCCUCGUAAAAAAAGCACGGAAAAAAGAUAAGUGCCAACGAAGAAAUUGCAUUAGCAGCUUAAUUUAAAAAGCUGCCGUCCUACCGGAAUUUGGUCGGGGUUCCGGAUAGGGCGUGAGAGAACCGACCUAGCAACUUUGAGUCUUCCUUCCGCUCAAGGUUGCGAAAUUUGAGGGAGGAUAGAAGCUAAGAAGCCUGUCCGUGGGCGUCUUAGCUUCGAAUUGUAAAACACGGACUGCGCUCGGAGAAGCUCAGGGGGUUCCACUUUCGGACGCGGGUUCGAUUCCCGCCGCCUCCACCA